rnacentral:rRNA from 1 species
UACGGGGGGGGGCAAGCGUUGUUCGGACUUACUGGGCGUAAAGGGCUCGGAGGUGGCCAACUAAGUCAGACGUGAAAUCCCUCGGCUUAACCGGGGAACUGCGUCUGAUACUGGAUGGCUUGAGUUCGGGAGAGGGAUGCGGAAUUCCAGGUGUAGCGGUGAAAUGCGUAGAUAUCUGGAGGAACACCGGUGGCGAAGGCGGCAUCCUGGACCGAUACUGACACUGAGGAGCGAAAGCCAGGGGAGCAAACGGG